rnacentral:rRNA from 1 species
CGACUUUGAUUCUGGCUCAGGAUGAACGCUAGCUACAGGCUUAACACAUGCAAGUCGAGGGGCAGCAUUUCCCAGCAAUGGGAAGGUGGCGACCGGCGCACGGGUGAGUAACACGUAUCCAACCUGCCGGCGGCCCGGGGAUAGCCUUUCGAAAGAAAGAUUAAUACCCGAUGGCGCCCGGGGGCCGCAUGGCCCCCGGGCUAAAGAAUUUCGGCCGCCGAUGGGGAUGCGUUCCAUUAGGUUGUUGGCGGGGUCACGGCCCACCAAGCCUUCGAUGGAUAGGGGUUCUGAGAGGAAGGUCCCCCACAUUGGAACUGAGACACGGUCCAAACUCCUACGGGAGGCAGCAGUGAGGAAUACUGGUCAAUGGGCGGGAGCCUGAACCAGCCAAGUAGCGUGGAGGACGAAGGCUCUAUGGGUCGUAAACUCCUUUUUUGCGGGAAUAAAGUUCGCCACGUGUGGCGUUUUGCAUGUACCGCACGAAUAAGGAUCGGCUAACUCCGUGCCAGCAGCCGCGGUAAUACGGAGGAUCCGAGCGUUAUCCGGAUUUAUUGGGUUUAAAGGGAGCGUAGGUGGGCUCGUAAGUCAGUUGUGAAAGUUCGCGGCUCAACCGCGGAAUUGCAGUUGAUACUGCGGGCCUUGAGUGCAGCAGAGGUGGGCGGAAUUCGUGGUGUAGCGGUGAAAUGCUUAGAUAUCACGAGGAACUCCGAUUGCGAAGGCAGCUCGCUGGACUGUUACUGACACUGAUGCUCGAAAGUGUGGGUAUCAAACAGGAUUAGAUACCCUGGUAGUCCACACAGUAAACGAUGAAUACUCGCUGUUUGCGAUACACUGCAAGCGGCCAAGCGAAAGCGUUAAGUAUUCCACCUGGGGAGUACGCCGGCAACGGUGCAACUCAAAGGAAUUGACGGCGCGGCGC